GCAAACCUACGGGAGGCAGCAGUGGGGGAUAUUGCACAAUGGGGGAAACCCUGAUGCAGCAACGCCGCGUGAACGAAGAAGGUCUUCGGAUUGUAAAGUUCUGUUCUUGGUGAAGAUAAUGACGGUAGCCAAGGAGAAAGCUCCGGCUAACUACGUGCCAGCAGCCGCGGUAAUACGUAGGGAGCGAGCGUUGUCCGGAUUUACUGGGUGUAAAGGGUGCGCAGGCGGCUCUGCAAGUCAGGCGUGAAAGCUAGGGGCUCAACCCCUAAACUGCGCUUGAAACUGUGGAGCUUGAGUGAGGUAGG
rnacentral:rRNA from 1 species